rnacentral:rRNA from 1 species
GUAGGUGGCAAGCGUUGUCCGGAAUUAUUGGGCGUAAAGCGCGCGCAGGCGGUCCUUUAAGUACUGAUGUGAAAGCCCACGGCUCAACCGUGGAGGGUCAUUGGAAACUGGGGGACUUGAGUACAGAAGAGGAAAGCGGAAUUCCACGUGUAGCGGUGAAAUGCGUAGAGAUGUGGAGGAACACCAGUGGCGAAGGCGGCUUUCUGGUCUGUAACUGACGCUGAGGCGCGAAAGCGUGGGGAGCAAACAGGGAUUAGAUACCCUGGUAGUCCACGCCGUAAACGAUGAGUGCUAAGUGUUAGGGGGGUUUCCCGCCCCCUUAGUGCUGCAGCUAAACGCAUUAAGCACUCCGCCUGGGGAGUACGGCCCGCAAGGCUG